rnacentral:Y_RNA from 2 species
GGCUGGUCUGAGCGCAGUGAUGUUUACAACUAAUUGAUCACAACCAGUUACAGAUUUCUUUGUUCCUUCUCUAAUCCCAUUGCUUCACUUGAAUAACCUUAA